rnacentral:rRNA from 1 species
GACGAACGCUGGCGGCGUGCUUAACACAUGCAAGUCGAACGGAAAGGCCCUGCCUUUGUGGGGUGCUCGAGUUGCGAACGGGUGAGUAACACGUGGGUACCCUGCCCCUGACUUUGGGAUAACUUAAGGAAACUUGGGCUCAUACCGGCAAGGAGCUCUUGCCGCAUGGUGGGGGUUGGAUAGUUUCGGCGGUUGGGGAUGGAAUCGCGGCUCAUCGGCUUGAUGGAGUGGUAGUGGCUUACCAAGGCCUGGCACCGUAGCCGAGCUGCGCGGAGGAGCGGACACAUUGGAACUGGAAUGCGGCACAGACUCGUACGGUAGGCAGCAGUGGAGUAUAGUGCACAGUGGACGGAAGGCAGAUGCAACCACGCCGCGUGCGGGAUGACGUCCUUCGGGUUGUAUACCGCUUUCGCCUUUGACGAAACGUGAAUGACGGUAAUGGGUGAAGAAGCACCGGCUAACUACGUG